UUUGAAUCCACUAGGGAGGAUGUCAUCCCAGUGCCCAGACACUGGGAUCCAGGAAUUUUGAUUAGAGAUUAAAUUGGUGAGUAUAAAAGUAGCUAAUUCUACGUUAAAAUACAACGUUUUUAAUGGGACUGCGUAAAAGGGCUGGAUUCCAGUGUCAAGCACUGGCAUGACAAGAAAGGGAGCACUGGAAUUU
rfam:Wolbachia endosymbiont of Drosophila ananassae gdan_271, whole genome shotgun sequence.